rnacentral:lncRNA from 1 species
AAACAACAUUUCUACACACACAGAAAACAGUUAUCACAACAAAAUUCCUUACUUUAUGGAGUCACAAAUAACAAAGCGGCAGCUGGAGGACCAGCUCCCCUGGAGUCCGUGGGUUGCUGGAGAGGUGGAAAGAAGAUCUCUUAGGACCCCUACACCUACAAGAGCCUUUGAGACAAAGAUGCAACAAAGAGGCAAAGAAUAACGCAGACAGGAAAGUGAGAGAUGGCUGCUGGUUGGAUCACGGCUGGGAACGCAUGGAUGCGAAUCCAGGCUUGGCUUUAAGAGAGGGAGAGAAUGUGGAUAGAUAACACUUGAUUGAACGAGGUAUUUGACUUUUAAAAAAAAUUUGAUAUCUGAUAGGCUGUGGCAGGUAUGUUAAUAAGACAUUCUGUUAAGUCGCUGCCAUCAUGGACCUUACACACUAGCAGCUGUAGUGGGGAAAGGAGGGCAAAGCAUCAUGAAGCAAAUUGUUUUCCUCCACCUGCAGUAAGAUGUAAGUAGCAAAGGAGACAACCAGAGACACCAAGAGGCGAUCUGUAAGGCUUAGACGAGAGCCAUGUCAUUCAGAGUUCCAAGUCCAGAGGGGACAUUGCUCACAUUUGGAGGCUCCCUAAUUCCUCAAGUCAAUGGAGUUAAGCAGCACUGGAACUGAGAGCCACAACAAAGCUGGUGGCAUCAGCUCUCCCCGGCUGUGGCUGGGGAGCUGCUUAUCGUAAUCAGUCAGGACCACCAGGAUGAGAUGGAAUCAGGGGUUACUGAUUGCAAGUUUCUGUUUUCAGGGAUAAAAACAGCUCACAGGACAACUGGAGGGAAUUGCUGCCUCCAGUAGACACAGACCUCCCUCCUAACUCCACGCAGCAGCCCCCUCUGCCACCUGUCCCCAGAGCCCAGGCCUAUGGUUGGACCGGAUUCGUCACCUGGCUCUACAGGAUACACACACAAAUGGCAGUAAAUGGACCACAUGAAUGGACUGCAGCGAAGAGACCUGAGACAAUUCAUGCCAGUGCAGACUGAGAUGUGCAAGGCAGAAGCAAUUUAGAGAGACUGAAAGAGAAAGGAAGGCCCAGUUAAAAUCCAAAUGGAGAGAAGCACAAUGUAAAAGCAAAUUGGAAAAAGCUGAAGCAACAGAGGGACCCUCAGGAAGAUGGUGAGUGUGAGAAAAAAGCACAGGAGAAAUGUCCUCUGCAACCCAAACCCGCCUCAUCAAAUAGCUCUGGACCCAGUUUUUAUCUUUACAAGUGAUAGCUGGCUGCUGCCAACUGUUUGCAUAGUGUGUACAUUGAAAUAUUUUAUUGUUUUAUGGAUGCAAUAAAAUAAAUGUGAUUAAAGGCAGAAAUCACACUUGAGUUCUGGUGAAGGAGACUGGAAUGCUGGAACCAGGGCUUUAAAAAGCAAAGCAAGGUCUUUUAGUCAGAGAAGAGGAAUCUGUUUCCUGUUCUU